AACUUUCCAGAACACAUCUUCCCAGCUUUGGUUGGAAGAUCUAUUAUCAUAUCAACCACCAAAGUGGGAAACAUUGAAAUCAAGGAUCUUAUGGUUGGUGAUGAGGCAAGUGAAUUACGAUCAAUGUUAGAAGUUAACUACCCUAUGGAAAAUGGCAUAGUACGAAAUUGGGAUGACACGAAACACCUGUGGGACUACACAUUUGGACCAGAGAAACCUAAUAUAGAUACCAGAAAUUGUAAAAUAUUACUCACAGAACCUCUUAUGAACCCAACCAAAAACAGAGAGAAGAUGGUAGAGGUAAUGUUUGAAACUUACCAGUUUUCCGGUGUAUAUGUAGCCAUCCAGGCAGUUCUGACUUUGUACGCUCGAGGUUUAUUGACUGCUGUAGUGGUAGACUCUGGAGAUGGCGUGACUCACAUUUACCCAGUAUUAGAAGGCUUUUCUCUCCCUCAUCUUACCAGGAGACUGGAUAUUGCUGGGAGGGAUAUAACUAGAUAUCUUAUCAAGCUACUUCUGUUGCAAGGAUACACCUUCAACCACUCUGCUGAUUUUGAAACGGUUCGCAUGAUUAAAGAAAAACUGUGUUACGUGGGAUAUAAUAUUGUGCAAGAGCAGAAACUGGCCUUAGAAACCACAGUAUUAGUUGAAUCUUAUACACUCCCAGAUGGAGGAAUCAUCAAAGUUGGGGGAGAGAGAUUUGAAACACCAGAAGCUUUAUUUCAGCCUCACUUGAUCAAUGUUGAAGGAGUUGGUGUUGCUGAAUUGCUUUUUAACACAAUUCAGGCGGCUGACAUUGAUACCAGAUCUGAAUUCUACAAACACAUUGUGCUUUCUGGAGGGUCUACUAUGUAUCCUGGCCUGUCAUCACGGUUGAAACGAGAACUUAAACAGCUUUACU
rnacentral:lncRNA from 1 species